CCUCCAGAUGUUUUGGGACUACAACUCCCCUCACCCCUCACCAUGGGUCCUGUUAGCUAGGGAUGAUGGGAGUUGUAGUCCCAAAACAUCUGGAGG